rnacentral:rRNA from 1 species
CCCUUAGAUGUCCAAGGCUGCACGCGUGCUACAAUGGUGAUCUCAACAAGUCUUUUUGCUUCUCCGAGAGGAGUGGCUAAUCUUGAAAAGGUCAUCGUGCUGGGGAUCGUCGUUUGGAAUUAACGACGUGAACGAGGAAUUCCUUGUAAACGCGAUUCAUCAUAUCGCAUUGAAUACGUCCCUGCCCUUUGUACACACCGCCCGUCGCUACUACCGAUUGGUGGUUUUGGUGAGGAUUUUGGAGUUUUGACUUUUUCCGAUGUUUCGGCGUUGGAAUGUUGAGAUGAAAUUGUUCAAACCGUAAUCACUAGAGGAAGUAAAAGUCGUAACA